rnacentral:rRNA from 1 species
UACGGGGGGGCAAGCGUUGUUCGGAAUUACUGGGCGUAAAGGGCUCGUAGGCGGCCAACUAAGUCAGACGUGAAAUCCCCAGGCCUCAACCUGGGAACUGCGUCUGAUACUGGAUGGCUUGAAUCCGGGAGAGGGAUGCAGAAUUCCAGGUGUAGCGGUGAAAUGACGUAGAUAUCUGGAGGAAUACCGGUGGCGAAGGCGGCAUCCUGGACCGGCAUUGACGCUGAGGAGCGAAAGCCAGGGGAGCAAACGGG